UCCUCUCUUUUCUUACAAAAUUUUCAUCUCGGAGGGAAAAAAUCUUACCGUUUCUUUGUUGGUAAGAAAAAUUGAAGGAUCCAAUUCACCGCGCCGACCCGAUUAGGCUCCGGAAGGGACACCUGAUUUUUAUGUGCGAUUGCAAAUGCUGUGUAGGGUUCUUGAAGCACCAAGGAAUUGCUGCGUUUAAAUAUUUAUUUUCAUUUCGGAGGAGAAUUUAGGGUUAGGGUUUAAGAUUUGGGAUUUUCGUUUUCGUAAAAAAGUU